UCACAAGAGUUUAGAUUCCAUGUUACUUUUGAUACUUGAAUUAUUUAUUUUGGUUAUAUUUUGGUCUAGUAUUCUCACUACUCGGCAUGCAAUUUCUUGUGUACAUGUGAGAGUGACUAUAUCUUCAUAUAAACUCAAUUUCUGUUCUUUUGCCUUUUUUGCUUAGCUUUCUGAAGGAGUGCUUUUAAAUUGUUGCAGCUUGGUGAUCAUUGGAUGGAUACUCAUUACAGGAACAUUUAUUUUGUGUGGCAUAUUUCUUCUUCUACACAAGACUGCUGAUCUCUCCACUCAUGUAUCUAAACCUCGCAACAAAAACUUGUUUUUGCAAAGUUUAUACAAAGAGGAGCAGGAGAAAUCACAUAUGACAAAUGGUAACAAGAGCAGGAAGCAUACUUUUCAUAGUGACAUUCAAGAUAAGGAUAUAGUUGAAGCUCUAGAAAAUGAGGUUCAAUAUUGGACAGACUAUCAUCCUCAGAGUCUAUACAAAUAUAAUGGUUUUUGUACGAUUCUUUGUUUUGUAUGGAAUUAUUAUCGAUUGGAAUAUACUUAGUUUGUAUGGAAUUUGACAUUAAAAGUCAUUCAUUUUUGGAUGGUUGGAAGCAAAAUAGAUGCAAAUUGCGAAAUGAUUAAUAAUAUAUGUAUUGUUUUGUUUAUAUACAUUAUGUAGGUUGCAUGGAAUACACACAGGUUAUAGACAAAUUAAAAAAAAAAAAUCAUGUUUUUGGCUACUAAAUAAUUAGUA